CGUAAGCAAUCUGCGAGUUUCUUACCUUUUAAUGAAUUGAAAAAGCUGAUUACUAGUUGUAAUGAAGAAACCCCCGAAGGACUGCAGAACAAAGUAUUUUUUUCUCUUUCCUAUGAACUUGCUUGGAGAGGAGGCAAAUGCGCACGAGCACAAAUGGGUUUUUUUAAAGAAAAAUUGCACAUCAACGGGAAAAAAACUGGCAGAGUUGAGUACAAUCCUGUAUUUGCAAAAACCACACAAGGAGGCGAUAAAAAAUGUGCCGAUCCCAAAUGGUUAUUUAAAAACAAUUCAAACGUCAGCUUUUGUCCUGUAAGGCUGUUUUUUAAAUUGAAAGAAAAACGAGGAGAAACAAAAUGCCAACGACUUUUUCUGACGUGCGAAAUCACUUUCCAGUUAUCUACAGAUGGAUGAAGAACACCAUAGAGAUCUAGUAGAAAAAAUGCGAGAAAGGAGCGAAAUUCAACCUCAACUGUCUGCCAGCGGCCCCUCAACGUCUACAUCUGCUGAGAA